GCCCGCGAGGUAAACACGCCAAAAUGCAAAUUUGGAGACGCACCCACAACGUGCCGGGGCUUCUCCCGUUUUUAUUUAAACGGGAGAAGA
rnacentral:tRNA from 1 species